AUCCCCUCUUUCAUUUCCUCCUAGCCAGGGUUACCGCCGCCGCUGGCAGCCACCCCGACGCUCGUGCCCUCUCCAUCCCGCCCCAAGCUCCACUCCCCAGCGUUAUCUCCAGCGGUCUUCUCAAUCUAGAUCUCCGGAGCACGUAGGAGCGAGGCGAUGUGGCCGUACCGGGAUGGGCCAAGGCAGUGGAGGCGAGGUAGAGACAGGGUUGGCUGUGUUUGGCGUUGCUGAAGUAUUAGGGAAGGACGGACCAGGGGGUGUGGAGUUACGUGGUCGCGGUGGUAGGAGGGGUAGCUCCUCCACUCUUGUGCAGCCACAUCUCUGACGGCAUCGCGCGGUGCUCCAUCGACAUGGGCUGCUCCGCGAGGUUCUUCUCUAGCAGUGGUCCGACAGAGUUCGGCUAUAGGUCCACCAUGCUUGCGCUUGCGCGGUUGAUGGGCACAGGCUACUCCACACAUGGACGGUAAGCACGAGCUGCUCCAAUGCUUUGAUGGGCACGGACUGCUCCAUACAAUGCCUAGAUCAGAAAGGUAAGUUCUUGUCAAAGGAAGGUAGCAUACCAAUGCUUUGAUUCCGAUUGGGUUGCACGUCUGCUUCUUUCGUGUUAGUUCAGUUAGUGUGAAUGGCCGGUUGCAUGAUAGGAACUAGAUAAGGACAUAAAUUUGCUAUUUGUUGUGCAACUAUAAAUCAACCGUCCAGGAAUUGAAAAGGGGAGAUUGAAUAGGUUCUGAGCUGCUAUCUUGAACCAUAAGAAUGCAUGUUUUACAAAAUAGUUUGGAUGCAGAAGCCAAACAAUACAAGGAGACGGCGUCUAAGCCAUUUUCCCUUAAAUUUGGUAGUGUUUUUCUAACCCAUUGAUUGUUAAGGUUCAGCUUGCUACUUGUAGAACCAUCAUGGAGGACAUGGCAACUAUAUUCCUUAAAUUAUAAUGUAUAUGUAUUCAUCAAUCGGCAAGUAAAAAAUGAAAAUUCUUUUCCACACAUUCUCAUCUGGAUAGAAGUAGAUUGGGAUUUUUAUUUAUUAUAAUGGAUGUAUGGAUGUAAGUUUAGUGAGGCCAAAAAAAGAGUAUUGUUUCCUUCAAAUAUUUGGAGAACACUAGAUCUUUUAUUUAUUAUAAUGGAUGUGCUCAUUUUUGUGAUGUAUAAGCUAUAUGUUUGGUCAUCCUUCCAACAUUUAAUUUGUAAGAUAGUAUAUGAUAAUUUUCUUCAGCACUUCACCAUUUCAACAUCCGUUCCUGUUUAAAUUUGUCUAUAUUAGUACAACUUUCAUACUCAUACUAACUUGAUAUCUCAAACAUACCUGGUUAAUUCAAAUUUCACUAAACAAGUUACCUUGCUAUUCUACAAAGGAUGACAUAAUUCUAAUUUUGUUAUUGUUUGUUUGUCCAUGAUACACCAGUCUAUACUCUGCAAGGAAAAGCCUUGAGGAAGAAGUUUUCAUACCACAUCUCCAUGGCCGACUAUUUCAUCUAAGAGGUUAUCACCGGGGGAUGAAGGUGUUGUGCAGGACCAAGGAACCUGAGGAAAAGCAGGCCAGUAGGUCCACCCCCGUCCCCAUGGCCAUGGUUUAUGUUUUUCUCAUGUCAGUUUACUUUUAGAGAGCUCCCUUUUAUUUUUGCCGAACUCCACAUAAAUUUAUUUGUUUCGAUGUGCUCAAUGGUCAUUGACAAGCAGAAAUCUCGAGGUUGUGGCAGAUUAUGUCUUGAAAUGCAUCAGGCAGAGCACUCAAAGAUAAGGACAAUAAUGCUCAAAGAUUGGUUGUGGGUUCUGCAACCUAUUUAUUUUCUGCUUUUCAAUUAUGGCGUUUGCCAUUGACUUUUAGACUCAUUCUCUAUCAAAAUAUGUAGUGGCAAUGAAAUCAGAUUUGUUCUCCGGGGUGAUUGUGCUAAUGAAUUUGAUAUUGAGAGUGUCCGUUCUAUUGGCAAAAGGCCCUAGUUAUUGGUAUAUUUUUAGCGAACUGCCAAAAAACUUUCAAGGCCCUUAUUUUAACCACAAGUUUCAUCAUCUCAAAUUUAUUCCUCUUUAAUAAGCACAAUAUGAUAGUAAUUAUUUCAUGAUUUUCCUUUGAUGCAUGAGUAAUAGACCAUUGACUUUUUGUCAUUUGCUCUCAUUACAGUCUAAUGUAACUAUGCUUACAGUUUUUCUUCUUCUGUAAAGCAUUGUGCAUUACAGCGACCUUUUAAGUGGUCUGGGCUUGUGGAUACUGCACACUAUCUUUUUGUCUGGCUUAUAGUCUUAAUAACUGCAUGGAGCUUCUUGGUUCUGUUUAUGAAUACUUAGAGGGUCAACCAAGAUGUUUAAUUUGCCAACACAAUGAAUAUAGUGUUUUGAAUGAUUCUUGACACCAACGGAUGCUAUUAGUUUGUCCAAGUUCUCAAUAAUGCACCACGUGAAUCCGAUGGCAUUCAUAGGAUACUAUCAUGGAGAUGGGAGAAAUAUCCUGGUCUAUGUGGCAAAUAAGGCAUCUCUUUUUAUGACCCUACCUUAGAGAUGCAAGAGUUGAAUGCAGUUGUUAAGAAGGAUAUCAAUGCUUGAAUAAUGAUGUUAGACUUACAGGUUCCGUGCAAUUCACAAAAUGAGAGUGGCAAUCUUUCCAAGGAUACACCAAAUCUUUCCACUACCGUUGAGGACAACCUAAAAAAUUGCCUGAUGAGUGCAACAAACAAAUUCAAAGAAGUUCUUACCAUGCGGACAGGGGUCACAUAAAAUAAAAUUAGUAAUGGUUUCCUGAUUCAAAUAGGUUGUCACCAUGUUUUCUUUUUCUUUGGAUAGUAUCUUCAUUAUAAAUGAUGUACUUAUCGUGUUUCUUUCUGAAUGUGCAGAAUUUGAAGCUUUAUGAGAAUAGAAGGCAAAUGUUCUCCUCCUCAGCUGCAAAAGAUGCAUUGAAUCCAUUAAUUCGUCAGCAAACCCUUAUACCAAGAGAGGCAUCAAAUGUUGCCCCCCAACACAAUGGGCCAGUGACUCUGCAACUACUCUGUUGUUUAAGAGGAACUUUAUGGUGUACAGCAAAAGAGCUUGACGGGGAUAUGCCUAAUGGGAUUUUCUAAUUAUCUCGGUGCUUUGUGAGGCUUUUUUGAUUCUUCUUCGUUGGUUGCUGCAGUUUGAAGGGAUGAGGGAUUUCUUCCUCGCCAAGCUCAUUGUGGAGUGUGGCAUCGGGUCAUUGACAGGGUCACCUUUUUAUUUUGAAAUUGCGUGCUUAAGCUGGGUUGUCGUGGACGUUGUUGCAUCUUGUUGCUUGCUCUAUUCAUUCUAGACUGUGAUACGUCGCCAAUGUAUCUAUUAUUUUUUAUGGUUCCAUGCUAUUAUAGUAUCAA